UACGGAGGGGGCUAGCGUUGUUCGGAAUUACUGGGCGUAAAGCGCGCGUAGGCGGACCUGCAAGUCGGGGGUGAAAGCCCGAGGCUCAACCUCGGAACUGCCUUCGAUACUGCGGGUCUCGAGUCCGGGAGAGGUGAGUGGAAUUCCUAGUGUAGAGGUGAAAUUCGUAGAUAUUAGGAAGAACACCAGUGGCGAAGGCGGAUCACUGGCCCGGUACUGACGCUGAGGCGCGAAAGCGUGGGGAGCAAACAGG
rnacentral:rRNA from 1 species